CCUUCUAACCAUUUUCUUUCUCUCCAGUGGAGAGCUUAGUUUGGGUUUAGUGUUCUCUGAUGAGUUAGGCAACCUGUUAUUUUCAUGAGUGGUCUGGGAAUUCUUCAGUGGAGUACGAAUUCUUCCAAAUUCCGAGCCUAUUGUCCUUGUCUAUGACCUUUAGCCCCAGUUGAAGACUUUUCCUAGUCUCCUGUUGUUUGGCUUCAGGACACUCUGCCAAACCCAGUACUACAAAGCCUUCUGAGCUUUGGCAUCACGGUUCAGCCUCAUCCCUGGACGAGCGUUUGCUCUUUUUUUCCAUAACUAAUAGUAAUGAGGGUUAGCACAGUUACCAAGUCAGAUCCCAAGACGACAUCGAAAUCACAAUGCUGGAUUUGUGACGUCACUCUCAAUUCUUUCCAGAUGGUUUCUCAGACUGAUCAAAAAGAAGAUGAGGCCAGUGUAUGUGAGUGGAAAAGUAGAUCUUCAAACAGAAAGAGGGUUCGGGAAUAAAAAGUAUAAUAAUAAUGUAAAGAUCACAAAACAACCAUAGAUUGCUCAAUGGGCAGCGAUGAGGAAGAUACUCAUCGGCCCUGGGCUCGGUGUCUGAUGCUCACAUGAUAUAAUGAAGAGCAGGGAAUGGAAUUUCAAGGAACAAUGUGAUCCUCUGAGUUGUCCCAGAACAACGAAGCACAAACGCUUGUCACUUGCUGCCUUUCCAGACACGGGAUACGAGGAACUCUCUACCAGCUCACCCUUUAGGGACCCAUCUCCAAAAGGAGUCUCCCUUGGGUUCAAAUCAUUUCCCUUGCUGAUUUUAAGUUUCUUCUCUCCUGCCCCCCAAAUCCUGAAUUUAAUCAAGUGACUCUUCAGAAAAUAUCUUGAUAACCUCAUGGUCAAGUGUGGAGCUUCUUAGGCUCAGUGAGAUACUUUGAAAAGAAUUUCCCGUGUAUAUUUUCUCUUGGCAAUUUUUUUUGUAUGAUUAUUGAAGUAUUUUCCUUAGGAGAGCUUCGUUACCAAGAAAUAAACUUAACACAUUUUCUCAGAAAUAUAGACAAUCGGGUAAUAAAAGUGGUAUUACAGUACAC